GACGCACUUUGGCGGCGUGCUUAACACAUGCAAGUCGAACGGAAAGGCCCUGCUUUUGUGGGGUGCUCGAGUGGCGAACGGGUGAGUAACACGUGAGUAACCUGCCCUUGACUUUGGGAUAACUUCAGGAAACUGGGGCUAAUACCGGAUAGGAGCUCCUGCUGCAUGGUGGGGGUUGGAAAGUUUCGGCGGUUGGGGAUGGACUCGCGGCUUAUCAGCUUGUUGGUGGGGUAGUGGCUUACCAAGGCUUUGACGGGUAGCCGGCCUGAGAGGGUGACCGGCCACAUUGGGACUGAGAUACGGCCCAGACUCCUACGGGAGGCAGCAGUGGGGAAUAUUGCACAAUGGGCGGAAGCCUGAUGCAGCAACGCCGCGUGCGGGAUGACGGCCUUCGGGUUGUAAACCGCUUUCGCCUGUGACGAAGCGUGAGUGACGGUAAUGGGUAAAGAAGCACCGGCUAACUACGUGCCAGCAGCCGCGGUGAUACGUAGGGUGCGAGCGUUGUCCGGAUUUAUUGGGCGUAAAGGGCUCGUAGGUGGUUGAUCGCGUCGGAAGUGUAAUCUUGGGGCUUAACCCUGAGCGUGCUUUCGAUACGGGUUGACUUGAGGAAGGUAGGGGAGAAUGGAAUUCCUGGUGGAGCGGUGGAAUGCGCAGAUAUCAGGAGGAACACCAGUGGCGAAGGCGGUUCUCUGGGCCUUUCCUGACGCUGAGGAGCGAAAGCGUGGGGAGCGAACAGGCUUAGAUACCCUGGUAGUCCACGCUGUAAACGGUGGGUACUAGGUGUGGGGUCCAUUCCACGGGUUCCGUGCCGUAGCUAACGCUUUAAGUACCCCGCCUGGGGAGUACGGCCGCAAGGCUAAAACUCAAAGGAAUUGACGGGGCCCCGCACAAGCGGCGGAGCAUGCGGAUUAAUUCGAUGCAACGCGUAGAACCUUACCUGGGUUUGACAUGGAUCGGGAGUGCUCAGAGAUGGGUGUGCCUCUUUUGGGGUCGGUUCACAGGUGGUGCAUGGCUGUCGUCAGCUCGUGUCGUGAGAUGUUGGGUUAAGUCCCGCAACGAGCGCAACCCUUGUUCACUGUUGCCAGCACGUUAUGGUGGGGACUCAGUGGAGACCGCCGGGGUCAACUCGGAGGAAGGUGGGGAUGACGUCAAGUCAUCAUGCCCCUUAUGUCCAGGGCUUCACGCAUGCUACAAUGGCUGGUACAGAGAGUGGCGAGCCUGUGAGGGUGAGCGAAUCUCGGAAAGCCGGUCUCAGUUCGGAUUGGGGCCUGCAACUCGACCUCAUGAAGUCGGAGUCGCUAGUAAUCGCAGAUCAGCAACGCUGCGGUGAAUACGUUCCCGGGGCU
rnacentral:rRNA from 1 species